AUUGAACGCUGGCGGCAUGCUUUACACAUGCAAGUCGAACGGUAACAGGCCGCAAGGUGCUGACGAGUGGCGAACGGGUGAGUAAUGCAUCGGAACGUGCCCAGUCGUGGGGGAUAACUACUCGAAAGAGUAGCUAAUACCGCAUACGAUCUAUGGAUGAAAGCGGGGGACCGUAAGGCCUCGCUCGAUUGGAGCGGCCGAUGCCGGAUUAGGUAGUUGGUGGGGUAAAGGCUCACCAAGCCAACGAUCUGUAGCUGGCCUGAGAGGACGACCAGCCACACUGGGACUGAGACACGGCCCAGACUCCUACGGGAGGCAGCAGUGGGGAAUUUUGGACAAUGGGCGCAAGCCUGAUCCAGCAAUGCCGCGUGCAGGAAGAAGGCCUUCGGGUUGUAAACUGCUUUUGUACGGAACGAAACGGCUCUGGUUAAUACCCGGGGCUAAUGACGGUACCGUAAGAAUAAGCACCGGCUAACUACGUG
rnacentral:rRNA from 1 species